rnacentral:lncRNA from 1 species
AUAAAAUAUAAGCAAUGUCUGGUCAGAUUUUCAAAAUAAAUGAAUCCUAGGAUAUAUGCCUUUUAGACUAAUAUUAACAUUAUGAAAUUGUUGCAGUUUGGUUACAUUGAGACACAGAAAAGAUCGUGGUUCAGUCACAUCACUUACAAAACUGAGUUACAUAGUUUAUGUUAGAUUACUGACAUACAUAACUUCAAAACAAGUCACUUUGGAUUUGGUUACACACAGGACUCAAACCCCUGUGUCCUGUAUGACCCAUUCGAUGGCCACAACCACCAACCAACUAUUCUCACCCUUUAUUCUGCUGCACUGGAGGGGCUGACCUGGCAGUGACCAGGCUGCUGCAUUGGAACUGUAAGAGAUGCUCACCCUUGUCUGACCUGGAUCUCAGCAGCUUUACUGCACAUCUGUAUGCCACAAGCACCAUCAGCCUGAAACACGGUUAGGGCAGCCUCAAAGAAACAGAGAGAAUAGCUAAAGACAGGCUGAUGCCAGAUCAGCAGUGACUCCAGGCUGGAGGGACCCCCGUCUCAACAAAUACGCCUGCUGGCCUGCGAUCAACGUCCUUCAGUGACCACUGUGACGUUCAUUCUACAAGGACACAUAUGGACUGGGAUUCACUGCCACCAAAGUGCAUGCUCAGAAUUUCUAUCAGGUACUCCCGUCAGCAUCCCCCCAGCAUCCGUUCAUCAUGAAUCCAUCUCAGCACAUCAUCCUCCUGCCACCACUUCCACACUGCCAUCAUAUCACUGUCCUAUUACAAUCUGUUGUUUGAGGAGUGUACAGGAAGAUCAAUGUCCGAUUAAAGCAAACACACAGAGUAAGGGCUUGUGAUGUGAUAGCCUGUCAGAGCUGCAAAAGAACUGCAGGGGAAAUAUAUAUACACACACACACACACACACACACGCACGCGCACACACACACAAAUCCGAAAUAUCUGCUCAGCACAGGUCAGGGGGUGCACACAGCCUUUGAUUACACUACAAGAUCUUUAAAACUAGGUUCAAU